GGACAAAGUCAGAUGCAAAGUGAGACUUUCUCCAGCAGCGUUCAGCAGUUCUGGGACAUUUUUGGAGGUAACGGGUCAGCUUGGUGUGCCAGGGUUGUAGUUGGGGGCGCUUGCUGCGUUUAACUGUAGGAGGUGCCAUGAUGUCAAGUUGAGAGGAGAGAGUGGAGUUGUAGAGUGAGGUUGCAGAGUUAGGGCAGUUGUGAUUUGAGAUGGGUAAAAGGAGUGUUUGGAGUUUAGUGGAGAAGUGCUGG